UUGAACGCUGGCGGCAGGCCUAACACAUGCAAGUCGAACGGUAACAGGAAGCAGCUUGCUGCUUCGCUGACGAGUGGCGGACGGGUGAGUAAUGUCUGGGAAACUGCCUGAUGGAGGGGGAUAACUACUGGAAACGGUAGCUAAUACCGCAUAACGUCGCAAGACCAAAGAGGGGGACCUUCGGGCCUCUUGCCAUCGGAUGUGCCCAGAUGGGAUUAGCUAGUAGGUGGGGUAACGGCUCACCUAGGCGACGAUCCCUAGCUGGUCUGAGAGGAUGACCAGCCACACUGGAACUGAGACACGGUCCAGACUCCUACGGGAGGCAGCAGUGGGGAAUAUUGCACAAUGGGCGCAAGCCUGAUGCAGCCAUGCCGCGUGUAUGAAGAAGGCCUUCGGGUUGUAAAGUACUUUCAGCGGGGAGGAAGGGAGUAAAGUUAAUACCUUUGCUCAUUGACGUUACCCGCAGAAGAAGCACCGGCUAACUCCGUGCCAGCAGCCGCGGUAAUACGGAGGGUGCAAGCGUUAAUCGGAAUUACUGGGCGUAAAGCGCACGCAGGCGGUUUGUUAAGUCAGAUGUGAAAUCCCCGGGCUCAACCUGGGAACUGCAUCUGAUACUGGCAAGCUUGAGUCUCGUAGAGGGGGGUAGAAUUCCAGGUGUAGCGGUGAAAUGCGUAGAGAUCUGGAGGAAUACCGGUGGCGAAGGCGGCCCCCUGGACGAAGACUGACGCUCAGGUGCGAAAGCGUGGGGAGCAAACAGGAUUAGAUACCCUGGUAGUCCACGCCGUAAACGAUGUCGACUUGGAGGUUGUGCCCUUGAGGCGUGGCUUCCGGAGCUAACGCGUUAAGUCGACCGCCUGGGGAGUACGGCCGCAAGGUUAAAACUCAAAUGAAUUGACGGGGGCCCGCACAAGCGGUGGAGCAUGUGGUUUAAUUCGAUGCAACGCGAAGAACCUUACCUGGUCUUGACAUCCACGGAAGUUUUCAGAGAUGAGAAUGUGCCUUCGGGAACCGUGAGACAGGUGCUGCAUGGCUGUCGUCAGCUCGUGUUGUGAAAUGUUGGGUUAAGUCCCGCAACGAGCGCAACCCUUAUCCUUUGUUGCCAGCGGUCCGGCCGGGAACUCAAAGGAGACUGCCAGUGAUAAACUGGAGGAAGGUGGGGAUGACGUCAAAUCAUCAUGCCCCUUAUGACCAGGGCUACACACGUGCUACAAUGGCGCAUACAAAGAGAAGCGACCUCGCGAGAGCAAGCGGACCUCAUAAAGUGCGUCGUAGUCCGGAUUGGAGUCUGCAACUCGACUCCAUGAAGUCGGAAUCGCUAGUAAUCGUGGAUCAGAAUGCCACGGUGAAUACGUUCCCGGGCCUUGUACACACCGCCCGUCACACCAUGGGAGUGGGUUGCAAAAGAAGUAGGUAGCUUAACCUUCGGGAGGGCGCUUACCACUUUGUGAUUCAUGACUGGGGUG
rnacentral:rRNA from 1 species